rnacentral:lncRNA from 1 species
UUCUCUUCUCAAUCGAUUCCUCUUAUUCAUAGUCGACUGACUCAUUCUCUUCUUCUCGAUCGAUUCCUUCUCUUCUUUCCCUCGAUCGCUUCAUCCAUACAAACAAUCACCUCUUCACUCACUUCUCUUCUUCUCAAUCCUUGAUGAAACCCUACUAAACGAAACUACAUACUAUCUGUACAGAGGAUUAGCCGGUUAUCGGAAGUGAAUAAUUCCCAACUUUCCGAACGAAAUCUUCCCUCUACAGGUAAAAUAUGAGCCCCAUUAUUUUUUAUCAUCAUCUCCUCAUUCAUUGUUCCAGAGGAGAUCUCAUACUGGAAUUAAAAAUUUUCU